rnacentral:rRNA from 1 species
UACGUAGGGUGCAAGCGUUGUCCGGAAUUAUUGGGCGUAAAGAGCGCGCAGGCGGUAUGACAAGUCAGAUGUGAAAGAGGCCGGCUUAACCGGCAAGGGUCAUUUGAAACUGUCAGACUAGAGUGCAGCAGAGGAUAGUGGAAUUCCCGGUGUAGUGGUGAAAUUGCGAUAGAUAGUCGGAGGAACACCGGUGGCGAAGGCGGCGAUCUGGGUCGAUACUGACGCUGAGGUGCGAAAGCGUGGGGAGCAAACAGG